AACAAAAGUUGCAGGCUCGACAAAAAUCAUGAUUCUUGAAACACUAUACACAAAAAUAAUGAUUCUUGAAACACUAUACACAAAAAUAAUGAUUCUUGAAACACUAUACACAAAAAUAAUGAUUCUUGAAACACUAUACACAAAAAUCAAGAUUCUUUGCACAUUUAAAAUAAAAGUCUAUGGUUCUUCAACCACUACAAGUAUCAUAUUUGGUUGAUUUGUAUUAUUAAAUGUUCAAUUUUUACUUUUUCAUGAACUGUAAAAAAGAUUGAAUUACAGGUAUACACAUAUAUGAAACGUGUACACUAAAACAUGUACCUUAAUCAAGGCGAUAUGUCUGCUUUGUAAGUAAAACAAGAGAUAUUCCAUCUACUUGAAAAGGCAAUUAAAUGACUGCAACACGGCUACAUGUGAAUGGUUACUAAGAGUUAUUGGAUAAAUAAGACAGCAGCCCAAAAGAAAGAUUUCCCAAAAUAAUUUCAAGAGAUCAUCAUACUCUGUGACUAAAAGACUGAAUGGCUAUAGCUAUAAGACAAGGGAACAAUCUUAAGGUCUGCAGUAUUUAUAGAUCAUACAAAGUCAUUUAUAGGGGAAAUGGGCAUCCUUUACUAUGUGUAACUUGAAGGAAAAUAUACUAACCACACUGUAUACCAUAAUAUCAAUGGAGUUUCAUGAGUACAUUGUCUGUAUUGGAACUUAUCAGAAGUAAACACAUUAAUUGUUGACUGUGAUGUUGAUGGUUAAAAAAGAACUACCAAUAUCGUCUUUCUGCAACAACAUAAGCAACAUUGUUGAAAUUGUGACAAAAAUAGCUGGCCACAAAACAUGUUAAAAUAUCUUGAAGAGCAUUUCAUUUUCAUCCUUUGAUGCUAAAUUUGACAUCCAUAAAAAACACCAAAAAUAGACUACAAUAGGCAUUGAUUCCAUUUAAUAGAAUAUAAUUGCCACAUUUAAAAUUCUUAAAAGAACUUUUUUAGAAUCCAAUAUGAUUAUAUUACAAAAAUGAACAAAUAUUCUUCAAAUAUCUAUGGCACAUGAUGAAAGUUUUAUACAAUGACACUUAUGGAUGGCUUUAUCCGAUUUAUUGCUUAUAUUAAACCUGUAUCAAAAACAAGCUAAAACAUUAUUAAUUUAUCAUUUAAAUUUCAAAACUAAGUUUUGCGUUAUAAAUGAUAACUUAAGAGCAACUCUGAAAAAUUUCACACAAACACAUGACAAAUUAUGUUUUUCUACCAAGGGUCAUGGUUUCUGGUUGCGUUUUUUCCUUCAAUGAUAAGGAAUCCUAUAAAUCUCUUAUUUCAGGUUUUUCUCACACUCUAGAACUGGUAACCAUGCCAUACUCAUUCAAAUUUACUGCUUAUAUAAAGUAUUGUCAAAACUAAGGGUUUUUCACCAUGCUAUAUAAAAUUGUGAUUAAUGAAUUAUAAAUAAAUGUUGAAAAAAUUAAAAUACGAAAAUAAAUAAAUUUCAAAUCUUUGGUAAUUUGACAUUAAAAUAGAAAUUUUACACUGAUU
rnacentral:lncRNA from 1 species